rnacentral:rRNA from 1 species
CAAGUCGAGCGGUAGCACAGAGAGCUUGCUCUCGGGUGACGAGCGGCGGACGGGUGAGUAAUGUCUGGGAAACUGCCUGAUGGAGGGGGAUAACUACUGGAAACGGUAGCUAAUACCGCAUAACGUCGCAAGACCAAAGUGGGGGACCUUCGGGCCUCAUGCCAUCAGAUGUGCCCAGAUGGGAUUAGCUGGUAGGUGGGGUAACGGCUCACCUAGGCGACGAUCCCUAGCUGGUCUGAGAGGAUGACCAGCCACACUGGAACUGAGACACGGUCCAGACUCCUACGGGAGGCAGCAGUGGGGAAUAUUGCACAAUGGGCGCAAGCCUGAUGCAGCCAUGCCGCGUGUGUGAAGAAGGCCUUCGGGUUGUAAAGCACUUUCAGCGGGGAGGAAGGCGGUGAGGUUAAUAACCUCAUCGAUUGACGUUACCCGCAGAAGAAGCACCGGCUAACUCCGUGCCAGCAGCCGCGGUAAUACGGAGGGUGCAAGCGUUAAUCGGAAUUACUGGGCGUAAAGCGCACGCAGGCGGUCUGUCAAGUCGGAUGUGAAAUCCCCGGGCUCAACCUGGGAACUGCAUUCGAAACUGGCAGGCUAGAGUCUUGUAGAGGGGGGUAGAAUUCCAGGUGUAGCGGUGAAAUGCGUAGAGAUCUGGAGGAAUACCGGUGGCGAAGGCGGCCCCCUGGACAAAGACUGACGCUCAGGUGCGAAAGCGUGGGGAGCAAACAGGAUUAGAUACCCUGGUAGUCCACGCUGUAAACGAUGUCGAUUUGGAGGUUGUGCCCUUGAGGCGUGGCUUCCGGAGCUAACGCGUUAAAUCGACCGCCUGGGGAGUACGGCCGCAAGGUUAAAACUCAAAUGAAUUGACGGGGGCCCGCACAAGCGGUGGAGCAUGUGGUUUAAUUCGAUGCAACGCGAAGAACCUUACCUGGUCUUGACAUCCACAGAACUUUCCAGAGAUGGAUUGGUGCCUUCGGGAACUGUGAGACAGGUGCUGCAUGGCUGUCGUCAGCUCGUGUUGUGAAAUGUUGGGUUAAGUCCCGCAACGAGCGCAACCCUUAUCCUUUGUUGCCAGCGGUUAGGCCGGGAACUCAAAGGAGACUGCCAGUGAUAAACUGGAGGAAGGUGGGGAUGACGUCAAGUCAUCAUGGCCCUUACGACCAGGGCUACACACGUGCUACAAUGGCAUAUACAAAGAGAAGCGACCUCGCGAGAGCAAGCGGACCUCAUAAAGUAUGUCGUAGUCCGGAUUGGAGUCUGCAACUCGACUCCAUGAAGUCGGAAUCGCUAGUAAUCGUAGAUCAGAAUGCUACGGUGAAUACGUUCCCGGGCCUUGUACACACCGCCCGUCACACCAUGGGAGUGGGUUGCAAAAGAAGUAGGUAGCUUAACCUUCGGGAGGGCGCUUACCA